CCCGUUCAUGUAUGAAAAUGAAAUGAAAAUUAUAUAUCGAAACGAAAAUUAUAUAUAUAAGCCCAGACUAAUCCUUUCUCGCAUAGCGUUCUCACGUACGAUAUUGUUAUCCGUUUACAAGGAAAUAUAGAAAACACUAUACGAAAACGGAUUUGUGCGGACAAAGACCCAGUAUAAAAACGGAACCUAAAAUUAUCACGUUUUGAGAUUGGCUUUGUAAGAUAAAAGUGACUAAUGUUUGUGACUCGUUCUUUAGAAAAUUCUUUUCAGCUGGCAAGAAUUGUUGCCAAUUUAUGUACAAUACACUGUAAAUUUCAAGGAGUCUGUAUAAUUAACUCCAAAAUGUUAUUCUGUAGUCGUUUUAGACCUUUUUG